UACGUAGGGGGCAAGCGUUGUCCGGAUUUAUUGGGCGUAAAGAGCGUGUAGGCGGCCAGACAAGUCUGCUGUGAAAACUCGAGGCUCAACCUCGAGCUGUCGGUGGAAACUGUCUGGCUAGAGUCCGGAAGAGGAGAGUGGAAUUCCGGGUGGAGUGGUGAAAUGCGUAGAGAUCCGGAGGAACACCAAAGGCGAAGGCAGUGUCCUGGGGAGCACCUGACGCUCAGGUGCGAAAGCCAGGGGAGCGAACGGG
rnacentral:rRNA from 1 species